CUGAUCCUUCAAAGUCCUCACACAAUUUGGAGAUCAUUCCCUCAAGAGACCUCAAAAAUGUAUUGCACUCGCCCAACUUGCAGACCAGGCAACACUUGUGGGCCGUAUUGUAUGUAUGAGAACUCCACUUUAUAUUACAAAUACAUCUACCCU